GACGAACGCUGGCGGCGUGCCUAAUACAUGCAAGUCGAACGCAGUGGGGACGGGUGAGUAACACGUGGGUAACCUCCCAUCAGAGGGGAUAACACUUGGAAACAGGUGCUAAACCGAUACUGAUGGAUGGACCCGCGGUGCAUUAGCUAGUUGGUGAGGUAACGGCUCACCAAGGCCACGAUGCAUAGCACGCAUGAGAGGUUGAUGGGCCAAACUGGGACAGAGACACGGCCCAUACUCCUACGGGAGGCAGCAGUAGAGAAUCUUCGGCAAGGGACGAAAGUCUGACCGAGCAAAGCCGCGUGAGUGAAGAAGGUUUUCGGAUCGUAAAGCUCUGUUGUUAGAGAAGCGGUAUCUAACCAGAAAGCCACGGCUAACUACGUGCCAGCAGCCGCGGUAAUAC
rnacentral:rRNA from 1 species